CCUACGGGUGGCAGCAGUGAGGAAUAUUGGUCAAUGGGCGAAAGCCUGAACCAGCCAUGCCGCGUGAAGGACGACGGCUCUACGGGUUGUAAACUUCUUUUAUACGGGAGUAAAAUGCUCUACGCGUGGGGUUUUGUAUGUACCAUACGAAUAAGGAUCGGCUAACUCCGUGCCAGCAGCCGCGGUAAUACGGAGGAUCCGAGCGUUAUCCGGAUUUAUUGGGUUUAAAGGGAGCGUAGGUGGAUUGAUAAGUUAGUGGUGAAAUACUGCGGCUCAACCUCGGGACUGCAGUUGAUACUGUAGGUCUAGAGAUCGGAUGAGGCAGGCGGAAUGCGUAGUGUAGCGGUGAAAUGCAUAGAUAUUACAAAGAACACCGAUGGCGAAGGCAGCUUGCUGGACCGCAACUGACACUGAGGCACGAAAGCGUGGGGAUCGAACAGGAUUAGAUACCCUUGUAGUC
rnacentral:rRNA from 1 species